rnacentral:rRNA from 1 species
GACGAACGCUGGCGGCGUGCUUAACACAUGCAAGUCGAACGGAAAGGCCCUGCUUGCAGGGUGCUCGAGUGGCGAACGGGUGAGUAACACGUGGGUGAUCUGCCCCUUACUUUGGGAUAAGCCUGGGAAACUGGGUCUAAUACUGGAUAGGACCAUGCUGUAGGUGGUGUGGUGGAAAGAUUAGUUUCGGUAAGGGAUGAGCUCGCGGCCUAUCAGCUUGUUGGUGGGGUAAUGGCCUACCAAGGCGUCGACGGGUAGCCGGCCUGAGAGGGUGGACGGCCACAUUGGGACUGAGAUACGGCCCAGACGUCUACGGGAGGCAGCAGUGGGGAAUAUUGCACAAUGGGCGCAAGCCUGAUGCAGCGACGCCGCGUGGGGGAUGACGGCCUUCGGGUUGUAAACUCCUUUCAGCCAUGACGAAGCCCUUGUGGUGACGGUAGUGGUAGAAGAAGCACCGGCUAACUACGUG